rfam:Salmo salar isolate Sally breed double haploid chromosome ssa13, whole genome shotgun sequence.
AGUCUUACGUUUUGUAAGUCGCUCUGGAUAAGUGCGUCUGCUAAAUGACGUAAA